CGGCGACUGUUGAUGACGCCACAUCCGCGUGUAUCGCUGUUUCCGGUGUGUUGAUCUCAGUUGGGGGGGGGGGUCUUUUUUCUUUCUUUCUUUCUUUUUUAGGUUGUUUGCAGUUAGCGCCCAGCGGAAUGCAAGGAUGGACUCUGAAAGAUAAAGCGAAGAAAGUUUCUCGGGAAGGAAGUGUUGCUGGCCUGUACUCACACACCUAUGUCGCGUUUAACUGUCUGGCCUGCUGCUUUGUUAAUGAGAGAACCAGAGUGUAGCAGGAAAAAGCACUGGACCACCAUAGGACCACCGCUGGAAAACUGCUGAGCUGCCUGCCAUUCCUAUCCAACCUGUGUCUCACAUGUGUAUCAGCAUAGCCAUGAAUAUGGCCCAACACAUUGCUAGACCCUAACGUCAUGCCACAAUGCCAAACAUUUGAACACAGCCCGGAACAGAGCUGACAUGUAAACUUGAAAGUGUUACUGGAGGACUUCAGGGUAAAUUACCAAGGUACAUCAUUCAACUCUGCUGCCAUGAAUAUGAUUGACUUCGAUUUCUACAACAGGUGAGAAGAUAGAGAAUUGGUCCUGUGCAGGCCUGGCUGUUUUCAUGUCAUACAUAUGUCAUCUGUGCUGUUGCAAAUGGCAGGGGAUUGGGAAGUCUUGUGAGCAGACAGAUGUCUGGGAGAACAGAAAAUUGGAAGAUUGUUCAGGGCCUCACUAGCAGUAUAAAAAGGAGUAAACAACUGCUGGGUUUGGAGACUGCUGAACCCAACCUCAGAGAGAAGAGGUUUUCGACUAUCAAGCUACCUGCACGCUGAAAAGAGCUCCAGGGUUACUUGCAGCCUUUGUGAACAUCACCCAUGUUGAGGAUCAUCCUCUAUGCCAUGCUGUGGAGGUCCAGCCUCACCAACUCUGGCAACUGAGAACUCACAAGCCUGGCGGAGAACUGACACAGCCUAGACCUGCUGACUCCCAUUGCCUUCUCCAAGCCUAGGGUGACCCUGCAGGUAACAGAUCCAUUCAACGGGGCCCUCCAGAUAUGUCAGCCUCUGCACCAGCUUCGAGGACACCAACCAGGAAAGUUUGAGAAGGCCAAUGGACUCACCAAACAAUAGCUCGCCAAGCUCUCCAUUGAACUCAGGUAAUCUUGGCCCUCCCUUCUCCCCAUUGCCCUUACCCGACUCCGUGCCACCCCAUGCUCUCCUACAGGUUUGAGCCCUUUUGAGCUCCUUUAUUGAAGGCCCUUCCUCCUCAAUCACCCCCUCCCAGCCCAAACUCCCCCACUGGCUGGGUACCUCCCCUACCUCUCUUUUCUGAGAUCCCUUCUCCGUUCAUACAGUGAUCCUCACCACCUUGUCAGCUGCCAAGCUCCUAGGACAUCCAUGCUGGUACCAUCUCUCCAGGCUCAAGUGGGCACCUAUUCAGGAUACAUGGUCUGUCCAGCAGCUGGGACCCUCCACCUUCCAGUUUUCCAAGAUGUCCCAAUAAAGGGCCUAUCUGCUCUUCUGCUCUGUGCAUCAUCUUUACAGUACAACUAGGGCAGAUGUUAAUGAUCUAUUUUUUUUUUCCUAGAAACUUGCCUUCUUUGCCUCCUGAAGAAACAGAUGCCUGAGGUCUCCAGGAUGACAAUUAACCAGAUGCUCCUCCACUCAUACCUCCUGCUGAAUAUCCCAAGCUUGGUAAACAAGAAGAGUGACCUCAAGGACUGCCCACUGGCCUUUGGUGCUUAGCAGCAGAGAGCUUCUGUGACAGGUGGAAGCAUCCGGUCUUGGGUACGUAGGUCACUAACCGUACAAGUGCUGCAGCUCUAAGGUGGUCAGAGAAAGUAGGGUUCUGCAUCCCUUGGUUCCAGCUGGCAUUAAAGCAUUCGAGUAAGCAUAUGUAUUGAGAUUCCUCCAUCAUCAAAAACAUAAGUAUGUGGUCAUGUGCAUGCCGUGGUAUGCUGGUAGAGGUCAGAGGACAAGUUGCUGGAGUUUGUUUUUAUUCUUUUAUCAUGAGUCUUGGGGGUCCAACUCAGGUCUUCAGGUUGGGUGGCAAGUGCUUUUACCCAUUGUGCCAUAUCCCCGGCCUCCCUCGGGAUCAACUGCAGUUCUUUUGUAGGCCCAGUAAGUUGGUGUUCUGUAAGCUUUAACUUGUGCCCAUGUUACAGCUUUUGACUCGGGGUCUGAUGCCUUUGACGUUAAGUUUUUCACAGCCCUUUGGAAUGCUGCUGGUGAGUCGGAUCUGCAGGCUCUCUUUUCUAGCUUCGUACAGGCUUUUGUGCUUCUUCAGCAUCAACGCUCCUGUCUUGUCGCUCAUUCUGCAGCCUUGCUUCCUGCCCUGGCCGCUCUGGAACUCUUCAGCAGCUUCAUAUUCAACUGAUAACAGUUAGCCAUCUUUCUUGGCCUGAUAGCUUCCGCUUGGAUGAUGCCUUUGCCCAUUGCUCUCUGCUGCUGCUUUGUGUUAUCAGCUCAGCCUGCACUACUAAAUGUAGGUAAGGAAAGACCAUUUGACAAAAGUUGUUUAUCGGGCCUAAUGUUACAACAUCACAAGGAAGCAUAGGAGAAUUUGUCCAAGCCAACUCAGUAAGUGAGCUCCAGCAACCUGCUUACACAGCCAGAGCCACUGAGGCUUGUGUUUUGGACCAUUCAUAGCCUUAUUACGUACCAGUGACAGAAAUCUCCCUUUCUGAGCAUCAAGGGACGUGUACUCCCUCUGGGCUAUGUAGAAGUAGUUUGGGGGUCAUCUAAGGUUCACCAGGGCUUGUGAUAGCAAAACAACUGGUAAUAUUUUCAGACAACCCUGGGUACAUUCAGGAUCAGGGGAAAUCAGCUGGGACCAUCCUAUAGUUUUCUUAAGGGAUCCUUAGAAUAUUCUAAAAGUCUGUUGCUGGUCUAAGAGUAGUCCAGCUGGCUAUGUGACUGACAGUCUGUUUGUUCAAGGUAGCCAAGGCAGCAAGAGGGAGUCCAACAACUGACAGUUAGGGAGCCAUAUUCCCCUAUCUGCUGUUGUUUUAUUUACAGGAAAAUUAAGGAGUCCUCACACUAUAAACUUAAAUAAUUUAUCCUUAAUACUGAUAGUGACUUUAUUCAGUGAUUGGCAUGUGUCCGGUGCUCCAGUCAGAGAAUGGACCAACACUUCAGGAGUCCUAAGCCUUGUUUUGUUUUACCUUGCAAAAGUGAUCCUGCCUGUGACCUAGAUUUCAGAACUUCAUUGAAGAAGAAACCAUUAAAUAUGAGCAGAAGUUUGUUUCUGAAAAUCUUAACAACAAAAAUCCCAUAACACAGUAGGUAAAGAUUCCCUUAUAUAGACACACUGCCUUUAACUGAGAAGUCUAGAAACAUCUUUAAUGGCUCCUAACCUGCCAGAGGCCAACUGACUUGCAUCUGUUUUACUUUCUUACCUUUGUAGGAAUGUUCAAAGCCACUGUGUCUCUUAUUUUCAUUUAUAUUUUUAUCAUUUUAAAACAAUUUUUUAAUUUAAAUAUAUUUUGAUCAUAUUCUUCCCCUGACCCAGAGCCUUUCCCCUCCCUACUCACCCAACUUUUCAGUUCUUUCUCAGAAAACAAACAAAAACCCAAUACAAAAAUAAACCCCCCCAAACCAAGAAAACAAAAUAAACAACGCCAAAAAAACCACAAACCACCCAAUUGUAACCAAAUAAAAGCACUCACAAGUGCCCAUAUGCGUGCACAGAAACACACACACACACACACACACACACACACACACACACACACACACAAAUAACAACUGUGGAGUCCAUGAUAAGUUGGUCAACAACUCAUGAACAUGACUCCUGUCUUGGAGUGGUUGAUAUACCCAGUGUUACUGUAUUGGAGAAAACUGAUUUUCCCUCUCCCAGGAGGCAUAAAUGACAGUUCAUUUGUUAACCUUUACCCUAGUGGCUAGGUUUUCUUUCAUUCACUUUUAAAAAAAAAUAUAACAAAAUAAAAUAUAAUAAGAUAAAACAAAAACUACCACAUUGAAGUUAGACAAGACAAACCAACAGAAGGAAAAGAGUCCAAGAGCAGGCACAAGAAUCAGAGACCCUCUCAUUUGCACACAUAAGAAUCCCAUAAAAAUACUAAACUAGAAGCCCCAAUAUAUAUGUAGAGGACCAGGUGCUGGAAUAGGGAGUCAGCUCCCCUGUAACUGAAGUUACAAACAGUUGUAGUCCACCAUGUGGAUACUAGGGAUUGAAUGUAGGCCUCUGGAAGAUCAACAAGUCCACUGAGUCAUGUCUCCAGCCCCUUCUUUGCAUUUUCAUGCCCCCAUAAUUUUCCAUGGCCUUUUAUCCUGCCUCAGACCCAAGUUAUCAAACAGGUCUUUCUCCUGGUGUCAAGCAGGAGGAUUCUUGCUGUGGUUCAUUUAACUGACAGGUCUGGCAUUUAUUUUUUGGGGGGGACUCCUUACUAAAGGAUAUCUCUGUGCAUGGCUAGGCACAUUGUCAGUGGUCCUAUCUGAGUGAAAUUAGCUCAGAGACAAAGACAGAAAGAUUUUGUUGCACACUGCAUAGAAAACUUUUCAUUUACUUUUAUUUGUAUCUCUAUGACUGUUAACGAGUAUGGUAAUGAGGUUCAAUGUGAUGUUACGUUACAUGUAUAUCAAUGUAGGCAGUGAGAUUCAUCCCAGAUACAUGAUGAUGUCAGUGAAAACUAUUUCAGGAUGAGCUUUUUUUUAUUUAAGAAAAAUUUUAAUGCAUUUUGCACACCAACCACAGAUCCCCCUCUCAUCCCUCCUCCCACUCCUCCUUAGCCUUCCCCUGCUGCCAGACCCACUCCCCAUCCUCUCCUCCAAAAGGGUAAGGGCUCCCAUGGGGAGUCAGCAAAAUCAGGAUGAGCUUUAAUGAAGCAUGUUAGGGAGCUUAUAAAGUAGGGAUAUUGAGUAAUACACAGCAAAUUUAACAUGGACAUUAAGGGGGCGGUAUACACAUAAGACAUGGUUCUGAGCAUCUCAUGAGGGAGAGGUAUACUAUGUUUUUAUUAGUAUAUAUUAAUUAUAUAGGACAGUGGUUUUCAUUGACAUUUUCAUGCAUAAUACACAACCUAUUUCGGUAUUAAUACCCAUUACCCUCUCUUGUCUCCUUCCUCUUCCCCUCAGACUCACAUAUCACUAGAUAUGUGUAUGUUUUUUGUGCCUUUUAAACUGCUCAGAGGAUAUAAUUUAUGUUAGGCUUAAAAUUAAAUUAUAAAAAAUGUGAGCUGGUUUACUUAUUUUACUUUUCUUUUCUAAAUGUAAUUGUUAAAGUGUUUUUGUAAGCAUUGCAGCUUGGAUGGAAAAAAUAUUCUGGCACUCAGGAACCAAGGAAUACUAAGUGUUACAGCUUUGAUGGAAAAGUAUUCUGGUAAUCAGGAGCCAAGGAAUACCACAUCACACACAGUAAGCAUAGUAGCUUACAGCCCUGCUCCAGGGAAAGGCUUCUCCAGUGUAACAGCUCUGCUCUGGUAGGGGAGGGUUUGGUUUCCCCAGCAAAGUUGUUCCAGUUCUCGUCUGGCUUCUGGAGUGUUAACAGCUCUGCUCCGCUAGGGGAAGGUUUCCCCAGCUCCGCUCUGCUCUGCUCUGCUAGGGGAGGGUUUCCCCAGCUCCGCUCCGCUCCGCUCCGCUCCGCUUAGGGGAGGGUUUCCCCAGCUCCGCUCUGCUCUGCUCUGCUCUGCUCUUCUCCGCUCCGCUAGGGGAGGGUUUCCCCAGCUCCGCUCCGCUAGGGGAGGGUUUCCCCAGCUCCGCUCUGCUCCGCUUAGGGGAGGGUUUCCCCAGCUCCACUCCGCUCCGCUCAGCUCCGCUCCGCUCCGCUCAGCUUGUCUCUGCUCAGGCGAAAGAUGGUCUCACCCAAACCUCCUUCAAGAGACUUCUUCGGUGGAAGGCAGCAGGGAAGGGGAUCGGUGGGAGCAAGCUGGACAGACACAGGGCUUAUAUAGGGAUUCUUAGGGGCGGGGUUUUUCCAGGGAGAAGAUUUUCAGGGCAGGGAUUGGUCAGAUUUCAAGUCCUUGAUCCCUGAUUGGCUACAUCUCGUGCUCAGGGAUUGGUUGGUUUUGUGCUCAGGGAUUGGUUCAUUUUUUCUGCUCAGGGAUUGGUUACUUUUCUGCUUAGUUGGUCAGGGCCAAAGUGUGUUUCUUUCACUGGCCCUUUUUAGCCUUUUGGCUCUAAUUUCAGGAUCAGGACAAAUUUCUUUCGCUGGCUCUGAUUCUGGGGCCAAAGUGUGUUUCUUUGGCACUGGUUUCAGAGUCAGGGCGUGUUUAUUAAGUUCUGGGUCCAGGGCUAAAGUGUUUCUUUCACUGGCUCUGGUCUCAGGAUCAGGGUGUGUUUCUUUCACUGGCUCUAGUUUCAGCGCCAGGGUGGGUUUCUUUGGCUCUGAUUUCCAGGUCAGGGUGGGUUUCUUUCACUGGCUCUGGUUUCAGGGCCAGGGUGGGUUUCUUUGUCUGGCCCCUUUUCCCUACAGUUUUUAUCAGUUGCAUUGUUCAGGAAUAACAGGACAAGGGCCAGUAUAGUUAAAUUCAAGAUCACAGACAUUAAAGUUUUGAGUAAAUAGUUCAUUUGUUGUUUUUAACCAACAUUGUUUAAAAUAUCUUUGGGAAAGGGGGCAUUGUUUUUGUAGGCAACUUGAAUUUCCUCAGUUGUGGUGAAGUGUUUUUUUUUUUUUUCUCAGAUUUUGGGGUGAUGUUGUUCUUCCCUUGUUAGAUAUCUCCAAACUUUUCUUUGUGGUUUUAAAUUUGUCUCAGAAUGAUUCAGUCAAGCAAAUUAAUAUAACCAUUACGUGACAUGCUUAGCUUAUCUGAGAUGAAAAUUAGAAAUAUACUCAGAGUAAUUUUCAAAGUCCAAUUGUAAGUAAACUUGGUGCAACUCUGUGAAUUUGGUCCUGGAUUUUGGCACCAAAAUGUGAGUUUUGCAACUCUGGGAAGAGGUAUCCUGACCACUUGGGAAUCAGGCAACAGCUGGAGCUAUGAUGAGACAGCAAGGUAGCCGCAUAGAACAGCUGACAGCUGGAGGGUGAAGUAUCCCCGUUGCCCUGGAGGGAACAUUUUUCUGACUGUUUGGGAGAGUCAGGCCUGGAACUGCUUCAGCAGAGAAGGGUAUCCUCAGGAGAGUCAGGGUAUACCUGUUGCAGUGGAGGAUGGAUGGUCUCCCCACGGGAUAUAGCAAUCUUGCCCUUCUCCUGGAGAGCUGCUACAGCUGAGCUUUACUCAGUCCCCAAUUAAGGGGACAUCCCAGCAGAGCUCGGCUUCUCUGGACUAAGAUGUUGCUUCCUUUGCUUCACACUGCAAAAGGGAAAACCCCUGAAGAAAUGUAGCCAUCUCCUCCAGCUCCAGCGAAGAGUUAAUUUCUCUGCUCCACCUUGCUCAGGCACUUCUCAGCAAAGUUCUGCUGUUCAGCUCCACCUCACUUAGCCCCCCUAAGGGAACAUCUCUGCAAGGUUUUUUCUUCUCAGUCCACUAAGGGACAUCUUAGCAAGAUUCUUCUCUGUGCCAGCAAAUGAAGAUCUUUACACUCAAAACUUUUUUGAGAAAGAGAUUUAUGGGAAGGAGGAGUCCAAGAGAGUUAACUGCCUCUACCAGGGUGGAGAGAACAGCCCACAACUGACCAGGCAGGGUGGUUUGUAUAGGAUGUCUCCCGGGCAGAGUCAACCAGUGAUUUUUAGUUUUUUUCUGCCCAGGGACUGGUCAGUUUUGUGAGCUGGGGCAGAGCUGGCCCUAAUUCCAGAGCCAAACUGUGUUUCUUUCACUGGACUUUCUUGGCUUUUUGACACUACCUCUAAGGCCAGGGCACAUUUCUUUCACUGACUCUGAUUCUAGGGGCCAAGAGUGUUACCUUGGCACUAGAUUCAGAGUCAGGGCAUGUUCCCUUGGUUCUGGGUUUGGGAUAAAGUGUUCAUUUCCCUGGCCCAGGUCCCAAAUCCAGACUGUGUUUCUUUACCCGAUUCUGGGCCCCAGGGACAGGGUGCUACUGUGUGAUUGGUUGGUUUCACAAGUCAGUUUGCCAGGGGAAGGGAUGGCUCUGAUCUGACUGAACCAAACUGUGUUUCUUUCUGCCCUGAUCUGAGCCAUCUUUCCUUAGUUCUGUACUCUAGGGUCAGGGUUUCUUUCUUUCUUUCUUUCUUUCUUUCUUUCUUUCUUUCUUUCUUUCUUUCUUUCUUUCUUUCUCUCUCUCUCUCUCUCUCUCUCUCUCUCUCUCUUUCUUUCUUUCUUUCUUUCUCCCAAAUCAUUUUUGCUAUUCUUGUUUCUUAAGACAAAUAGUAAUUACAGUUGUUAAAGUAAUUUUUGACUGUUGUGGUUUUUUUCAUACCACCUUUAAGGCACAGUUUCUGUGCCAUGUGACAAGGAGCCUUUGGAUAAAGUCAUGUGUUGGCUCCAGAGCACUUCUUUCCACAGUUUUCUUUUUAACUUCACUUGACUUUAUUUUACCACAUGGCACGUUUCACCCCUUGAGACCUUAAUUAUCAAAAUCAGGGUGGGUUUCUUUAGCCAGCCCCUUUUCCCUGCACCAAUACCCUUUUAUUAUCAUAGUGAUCAUUCUGAUGAGAGAUCUCAAAAAUCAUUCCCCUACGACUGGAGAGAUAUAGCUCAGCAGUUGAGAGAGCUGGCUGCUCUUGCAGAGGACCCAGGUUCAAUUCCCAGCACCCGCAAGGCAGCUCCAGUUCCAGGGAAUCCAAUGCUCUCUUCCGGCCUUUGCAGGCACCAGGUACACAUAGGGUGCACCGAUGUAUAAGCAGUCAAACACUCAUACACAAAAUAAAUAAAUGAAAAUAAUUUGAAAAAAUAUUCCUCCUAUCUAAUUGAAACUUUUCAUAUUUUGGCCACCAUCUCUCCACUCACCCCCACUCUUUUUUCUUCCGUGACUGUAAUGGAUUUAGAUUACACAAAGGUGAGAACAUAAAGUAUUUGCAUUUCUCCAAAAGCCUGGCUUGUUUCACUUCAUGUAGGAGGUACCUGUAAAUGUUGUAUUUUGUGUCAGCUCCUUUUUCCUUUGAGACAGAGUCCCGGUAUGUAGUCCUGAAUGACCUGGAAUUGUCUAUGGAGACCAGGUGGGUCUCUAACUCACAAAUAUCCUUUGGCCUCUGCCUCUCAACUGCCGGGAUUGAAGUAAUGCACAUCUACAACUAGCUCUGUCUCAACUCCAGCAGCACAGACUCUGAGUCCAAAACAAAUAGAGGGUUUUACAGCACUGUGUUUUAGACUUAUUUCUUAUGAGGCAAUAGGGAAACCAGAUAAUUAGGAAGCCGAUAAUAAAAAGAGUGGACUAAAAUGAACAAUGUGGCAAGUGGUUUGUAUAAGAUAGAUUAGUAGAGAAGGUUUUUAUUUUUGCUGCUGCUGAGUGGUCUUUUUUUUUGAUCCAGAGACUACAAAAUGAACAGAAGUGGACAGUUGUGGAACUAUACUGGAAUAUACUGGAAGGGGAAGUUAUCUAGUAUAUUCACUUUAGAUAAUCACACCUGCUUUUAUAACAAAAUCUUGAAGCAUUUUGUCAUUUCCUUAACUGAGUAUGUUAAGAUCAGAGAUUUGUGGAGUCUAAGUAAAAAUAAAAGUAAGAUCAACACUGGCAAACUA